UUGUUGGUGGGGUAAUGGCCUACCAAGACUUUGAUCAAUAGCUGAUUUGAGAGGAUGAUCAGCCACAUUGGGACUGAGACACGGCCCAAACUCCUACGGGAGGCAGCAGUGGGGAAUCUUGCACAAUGGAGGAAACUCUGAUGCAGCGAUGCCGCGUGAGUGAAGAAGGCCCUUGGGUUGUAAAGCUCUUUCGUCGGGGAAGAAAAUGACUGUACCCGAAUAAGAAGGUCCGGCUAACUUCGUGCCAGCAGCCGCGGUAAUACGAAGGGACCUAGCGUAGUUCGGAAUUACUGGGCUUAAAGAGUUCGUAGGUGGUUGAAAAAGUUGGUGGUGAAAUCCCAGAGCUUAACUCUGGAACUGCCAUCAAAACUUUUCAGCUAGAGUAUGAUAGAGGAAAGCAGAAUUUCUAGUGUAGAGGUGAAAUUCGUAGAUAUUAGAAAGAAUACCAAUUGCGAAGGCAGCUUUCUGGAUCAUUACUGACACUGAGGAACGAAAGCAUGGGUAGCGAAGAGGAUUAGAUACCCUCGUAGUCCAUGCCGUAAACGAUGUGUGUUAGACGUUGGAAAUUUAUUUUCAGUGUCGCAGCGAAAGCGAUAAACACACCGCCUGGGGAGUACGACCGCAAGGUUAAAACUCAAAUGAAUUGACGGGGACCCGCACAAGUAGUGGAGCAUGUGGUUUAAUUCGAAGAUACGCGCAGAACCUUACCAACACUUGACAUGUUCGUCGCGACUCUAAGAGAUUAGAGUUUUCGGUUCGGCCGGACGAAACACAGGUGCUGCAUGGCUGUCGUCAGCUCGUGUCGUGAGAUGUUGGGUUAAGUCCCGCAACGAGCGCAACCCUCACUUUUAGUUGCCAUCAUUAAGUUGGGCACUCUGAAAGAACUGCCAGUGAUAAGCUGGAGGAAGGUGGGGAUGACGUCAAGUCCUCAUGGCCCUUACGUGUUGGGCUACACACGUGCUACAAUGGUAUCUACAACAGGAAGCAAGACGGCGACGUCAAGCAA
rnacentral:rRNA from 1 species